AGGAUUCUAGGAGGGCUUAAACUGAAAACAGCACACUAUUUUGGCGACCUUUUGGGAAGUGUUGGAAAACUCAUGAUAGAGCCCAGUCUCACCAGCUUUGCAAUUAGAAUCCGGACAGCAUCAUUGAAGUUUUGAAGUUUCUAAAUUUAAGUAUGUGCGUCCAAGUGAUGAUCUCCCCAGCCUCCACGAGUAUGAUUUCACAAUACUGUGAACUGUAAAUACUGCGGAAAAGGAGCUUUUUACACUUAACGUAGAGCAAUUCUCUCUGUGCGCAGUAGCAGUAAAGCAAGCUCAGCGUGGUGUGCAGACGAGGCUCCGAGGAGAGAGAUGCAAAUCAAGAGGCGUGAUGGACGGCAGAAGAACUGGCUGGAAACCACGUUUCUCUUUAUAAAAACUCCCCACAAUAUGUAAGUUUUCUUGGCUUAGAGAAGGAGACUUUGCAGGUAGAAGCACCCAGUGCUUUUUGAUAAUGAUAAUGAGAAAGUCAUUGGUUCAACUUCAUUUAAAAGCUUUCUGAGAGUGUUUAAGAUUGCUAACAGUUUUUCUGCUAACAAAACACAUGACAAA
rnacentral:lncRNA from 1 species